rnacentral:lncRNA from 1 species
CUGUAGGGAGUCCAGGAUAUUCUCUCUGAGGCUCAGAGUCCAACAAUGAUUUCUUUGUCCUGAGUGAUAACUGUCUUUUCCCUUAAGCCAAUGAAUGCUAUGGAUUCCAUUGAUGGGGAAUCACAGAGUAAUACAAUUCACUUAAAUAAAAAAUGGACUUAUUCUAUAUCUCAGAAACAUUAACCCCUUUACACAGGUCCUAUUUUCUGUCC